CAAAGGCGGCGACGGGGCCGCCGUCCGCCCCACUGCGGGUGCGCGCUCCGCGCCCGUCCCCGCCGCGCCGCUCCCGUUGCCGCGGAGGAGGUGCUGCCGGCACCAGGUUCCGCCGAGGAGGAGCGAGGAGGAGGAGGAUCCCGCCCGCCGGGUUCGUUCUCGUCCGUGGCCCGAUCCGGCGUGGCUCGGCGCGGCCCCUGCCCUGCUCUGCCGCCGAGUGGCAGCCGGGCGGGAGCCCCUUCCCUCGCCGCGGCAGGGGCUGCUAGACCUCUUCCUCUGCAUCAGGGUGCCUGUGCUGCACCACCGGCAAAGCUGAAGAGGCCUGUAAAGUCUGCAGUUCCUCACAAGUGCGCUGUCAGGUUGUCAGUACAUGUGGAGCAGUGGGAGGAAGCCUGGCAGAGGAAGGGCUGCUGCCCAGCAUUUGGAGGAGACUGAGGCAACAGAAAAAACUUCUCAAAUGGAAGUGCUAUAGAAGUGGAAGAGAGGCAUGUGAAACCAAGGGAGAAAAAAAAAAGAAAAAGAAAAAAAGGCCUGUGAUUAUCAGAGAAGCCAAGAGACCUGAAAGAUGAUUAGGAGACCUGGGAAAUUCCCUAUAGAUGUGAAACUGCCGGGCAUGAAGUGAUAGCAAUAAAGUACCAGCUUAGCUAGUUCAUGGUUAAUCCCUUUUUUCUAGCAGCAAUAAUAUGCAUACUUCAUGGCAAACAGACUGCAAGAUAUGCUGAGGACACUUGGCAUACCAUAUAACAGAUGUAUUUGGGCUAUCAAGUAAUAGAAAUAUUCGAACUUAUUGGUAAUCAUUGUUGUAAGUGAUAAAGACAGCAAAGAUAUUAAGUGUGGCCCCCAAGAAUGGCAUGACACAAGAAAAUCCUUUGAAAUUUCAUCCUGCUCCAACUUGGCACAUGAGAACAUACUGCUCUGAAACAAAAAUAGCACAUCAGAAAGGAUCUGAAGUCAACAGACAACAAAACAACUCAUUUAAGGCAUAUUUUCUCUCAGUCUUUUUUAUUUUUCAUUUCCCCUGAAUAUUAAACAUUUUGCUUAAUGAGAGAAGGCUGGCCAAGAGACACUGUCCCUGAGAGAGAGGACUGGCAGAGGCAGCCCUUCAGAGGUGACAGUAAUAUAUUGCUGGGGUUUGAAGCCCAAGGUGGAGCGGGAGCAAAGAACAAAUGAGAGAAACAUGCUGUUCCUCAGGAAGUGAUGGCUUGAAGGCUUACAUGACAUGCCCUUCAGGAAAUCACAAGGACCUAGAAGUGCAGCAGCUCAAGGAAAGUGUGACAAAUGGCUCCAACUGGAAUCUAUUACCACAGGAUACAGGGGUAAAUGAGGUGGUUGUUUUAACAUUGCAGAAAUAACCCAGCAUUGUCUCUUUCCAGCUCUGCCAAAAAUGAUGCCUCAGACUUCAUGACAGCUCUCUCUCUUCCUCUCAGGAGUGGAAAGAACACUUCAAAAUUCUUCCGUGGGUUCAUCACCACCCAAAACCUGAUUUUUAUUUUCUCUAAAUGAUAAUAAGAUCAUUUAUUUUAAUAGAUGUUUUAGCUGGCCUUAAAUAAUUCCUCUGUUUUAAGUUGAGAAAAUUGUAAAGGAAAUAAGAUAGAUUAUUGCUCUAUU